ensembl:lncRNA
CUUUAUUAAACCUCGUCCGUUGCAGCCAAGCUUGACAAGCGAACGAGCCGCAUUUCUUCCGAGUGGAGUAGAUUUGCUGGGGGCGGGCGGAAUUCGGCUCCCUCCCUGACGCUCCCGGGAAGCCAGCGCGGUCCCAGCCCCCGGCCCUUUGUGCGGGCGCCCGGCGCCCAGCAAUUGUGUCUCUAAUCAACUGCCUCUAAGCAGAGCCCCCAAAGAUGUCCUCGGAUGCUUCUUCUGAUGAGAUGACCCCAGCCCUCUGGGGCGAAGACAGCCCAGUUACUUCUGGGGUGAUGACGUCCAGAGAAAGAGGAGGCUCAUGGGGCCAGUGACAAGGGGACUAAGAUUAUAUGAUCAUGAGUGACCCUGUCUGAGGAGGGGGCUGCUACCCCAGCUGCCAAAGGCUGAGAGCCCAGGGAAGCACAUCCCAGCCUUCUUCCAGGGACUGGAGGUGAGGGGAGGGUGACACCGGAGCCUCCCCAGGAGUACAAGCCAGCCCAGCUUUGAGAGAUGGAGAGCAAGAAACCGAUAUCCAGGGGAAGCCAGAGCUAUGCCUUGCUGGACUGUAAUGCACUGAGUAUUUUGCAGGCCCUGUGGAUCAAUAGCAAUGCAUAAUUGAGAGAUGAAACACUGCCUGGUUACACAGCCGUGAGACUGAGAGAUGCGGUGGGCCCUAGCCAGCCCCAGAGUCCUUCUGAGGCUUGCUGCCUGGUUUCAAGGCAUCUCCCUCAAUCCCUACCCUCUCCAUACUCAGGUAGAACAGCCUCCAUUUAGUGGAAGUGAAGCUCAUGCCAGAUACCGGUAGUGUGGGAUGGUGGUUAAGAGUGCAGGCUCUGGAGUCAGACUGUAUCAGCUAGCCAUUGCCACAAUCAUGCUGUGUAACAACAACAACAACAAAAUGUUUUUGAUAAAACCUC